GUCUGUCUUACUGUGUUGAGGUGUGGGGGGAACACUGUGUGUCUGUAGUCUGUCUUACUGUGUUGAGGUGUGUGGGGGAACACUGUGUGUCUGUAGUCUGUCUUACUGUGUUGAGGUGUGGGGGAACACUGUGUCUGUCUUACUGUGUUGAGGUGGGGGGAACACUGUUGUCUUACUGUGUUGAGGUGGGGGAACACUGUGUCUGUAGUCUGUCUUACUGUGUUGAGGUGGGGGGAGGACUGGGUCUGUAGUCUUAAGGAAACAGACUGACUGUACGACAGUGUCCUCUGUCCAGCUGCUCCAGACAGUCAGAGUAGCGCUGGGCUAGAGG
ensembl:lncRNA